UGGGCAUCUAUUCUCUAUGAUUACUAUCUAGAUUUAGUUUGAUACUUAAAAAUUAUUAUUAUGUACCUGCUACUAGUAAAAAAAUUGAUUUAUGUUUCAAUAUUAACAUAGGAUGAUUAUACUUGAUAAAGACUACUGUAUGAUUUAUUUUAAAAAUAAAUUGAUUGUAUGUGAUUUUAUAAUUAAUAGUCUUUAUCAUUUACAUAUAGAAAUAUGUGUGAACAUAUCUGAGUAGAUAGUGAGUACUGUAAGAUCUAAGAGAUCUAAAGGUGAGAUAAACUAGAAGUAUAUGUGGCACCUUAGGCUUCAUCA
rnacentral:lncRNA from 1 species